CAGCAGCGCGGGAAAACGUAGGUGGCAAGCGUUGUCCGGAAUUAUUGGGCGUAAAGCGCGCGCAGGCGGAUCAGUCAGUCUGUCUUAAAAGUUCGGGGCUUAACCCCGUGAUGGGAUGGAAACUGCUGAUCUAGAGUAUCGGAGAGGAAAGUGGAAUUCCUAGUGUAGCGGUGAAAUGCGUAGAUAUUAGGAAGAACACCAGUGGCGAAGGCGACUUUCUGGACGAAAACUGACGCUGAGGCGCGAAAGCCAGGGGAGCAAACGGGAUUAGAUACCCCAGUAGUCCCUGUCUCUUAUACAC
rnacentral:rRNA from 1 species